GGGCUUGUGGUCUAGUGGUAGGAUGUUCGCUUUGGGUAUUACGUCACACGGAUGACGUAAUCAAAAAUAGUGCGAAAGGUCCCGCGUUCAAAUCGCGGCUGGCCCC